rnacentral:pre_miRNA from 1 species
UAUAAGGGAUUUUGACAUUUUGCUUGCACUGUUUGACCACCCGUCUUAUUCAAAAAAAAUUUGAAAUUAUUAUUUAUUUUAUUUGUGACUUACUUUAUUAUCCAAAGUACUUUAAGCACAACUUUUUAUUUUUUAUAUUUGCACAAAAUUUUUAAAUAAGACGGGUGGUCAAACAGUGCAAGCAAAAUGUCAAAAUCCCUUAUA